GUGCUCCUGGGCCUGGCGGUUGAGCCCGGGGAGCUAGUCUUUGCUUGGGUAAAGAAAGAGGACUUUCCUUUUUUUUUUUCCUUUUGAGAAAAUUCAGAAAUUUGGAGGCACAGUAGUUAGGAUUCAGGCCAAACUGGUAAAUGACGAAGGGGCUUCUUCCAGAGCCAAGGAGGAAGGGUUGUCCGGUGUGUUUCACAUAACAGCAGAUAAUCACCAGAAUGGGAGUGAAUGACUUGUGGCAAAUUUUGGAGCCUGUUAAGCAACACAUCCCCUUGCGUAAUCUUGGUGGGAAAACCAUUGCAGUUGAUCUGAGUCUCUGGGUGUGUGAGGCACAGACAGUCAAAAAAAUGAUGGGCAGCGUCAUGAAGCCCCACCUCAGGAACUUAUUUUUUCGUAUCUCAUAUUUAACACAAAUGGAUGUAAAACUGGUAUUUGUUAUGGAAGGGGAACCACCAAAGCUGAAAGCUGAUGUCAUAAGCAAGAGGAAUCAGUCUCGGU
rnacentral:lncRNA from 1 species